rnacentral:tRNA from 1 species
GCGAGAGUGGCGGAAUUGGCAGACGCGCCGGCCUUAGGAGCCGGUGCCCGAAAGGGCGUGGGGGUUCAAGUCCCCCCUCUCGCA